rnacentral:rRNA from 1 species
UUAUUCUUACGGGAGCAGCAGUAGGGAUUCUUCCCCAAUGGGCGCAAGCCUGAUGGAGCAACACCGCGUGAGUGAAGAAGGGUUUCGGCUCGUAAAACUCUGUUGUUGAAGAAGAACGUGCAUGAGAGUAACUGUUCAUGCAGUGACGGUAUUCUGCCAGAAAGUCGCGGCAAACUACGUGCCAGCGCCCCGGUAAUAAAA